rnacentral:sRNA from 1 species
GUUGGGUAAGGUGGCACAUGCCUGUAAUCCCAGCAACUUGGGAGGCUGAGGCAGGAGGAUUUCGAGGCCCUAAGCAACUUGUCUCUA